rnacentral:lncRNA from 1 species
UUCACUCUGGACAGACGGCACAAGCCCCUGGGAAGCACCCAGCCUUCUCUGCACCUGUGUAAUGGUAAACAAAAGGCCUGACUUCUGAGCAGCGAUUUUCAAUUAACAAUGCAUCAGAUUUCACUCUAUCCCAGCACCCCACUGAAACCUCCAGUGCAGAUAUUUUAAUAAAAUAAGACACACAAGAAUAGGGAAAAUGAGAGACAAAAACCAACAAACAAAAACAUGGGAGCAGAAGAAGAAAUUGAUUAUGUGAUAGCUGGCUUUAAAACCUGAGAAGACCAAAUCUUGACCUUGCAGUGAGAAUACAGAGGAUUCUUCAAACAAGCCAGGAAUUUUUGACCUUGCAGUGAGAAUACAGAGGAUUCUUCAAACAAGGCAGGAAUGCCCAUUCGACUUUCCCCAAUGGCUCUGCAUAAGAGGAACCAACAGAGAUCCUUUCCUGAGACCUAAGGAGGCAAAAGCUAGGUGGCAACCAAAGAUUUCAGAGGAGGAAGCAGUGGCCCCAAGUCUGUCACCACAUGCUGGGCUGUGAGAUGUCGGUGCCCUGCAGCCAAAGGCCUCCAAGAGCUCACCUGCACUUAAGCUAUCAAUGGCUGUGUUCCCCCGUCGUGCCCCAGCACCCACCUGGUGAGGAGGAGGAAGGGAAGAUAAGGAGCUAACCCAGUGGGAGUUUCAGCAAGAAGCAGGCAUCUGGCAAAGGUGUAUCUUUCACCUGAAGUUCCCGGGGAAAGUUCAAAGCAGGAGUAAACAGAGAAUGGAGCACCAGGUGGGAAGCCGAGCUCAGUAAG